GAUGACUCCGAUCGUCUCACAAAGGAAGUGAAAAGAAUAUUAGGAAGAAAUUAUUAAGAAGAGCAUCUUUAUAACACCCUGUAACUAUGUUCUUUCCUUUUGUUCUUCUUAAGAAUGCUGUAUUCAAAGCCUCUCCAACAGCAAGAGUUCAGAUGAUCUUCUGCCUUCACCUGGAGCACAAAAUAGUCCAGUCUCACACCUCCACUGCUGCCAAAGUGUGUGACUAAUCAUGGGAGAGAGUUUCUGAGGAGAGGCCAUAUGUAGCUGAAAAUGUAGAUAAAUAGGAUAUUGAGAGCCUAAAAUCUGGAUAAAGAUGCCAUAUUACCAAAGAAAUGGACUGCAAUAGGACCAGAUUGGUCACGAAGGUGAAGAAUAAAAAUGGAAUGGACUUUGAAUUGUUAAAUGGGGAUGUCAAAUUUAGAGAAAUCAGGUUAGGCUGACUUUAGGACGAGGAAGUUUCUAUGAAUCUAUUCAAAUAAUAAAGACCAUGAAGAUCAAUCAAAAUAGAAAGGAAGAGAGGAAAAUCACAUUUUGACUCCCUACAGAUGACUAGACUCUGUGCUACGCCCUUUGAUUUUACCCUUUCAGCAGUUGUGAAAACAUGAUCACUGGAGCAGCCAUAUCAGCAUCACCUGCGUACUUAGCAUAAGUGAGAUUCUUGAACUCCACGCCACACCUAGGCUCAGAAACUCUGGAGCUAAGGCCUGGACAUCUGUGUUUCAAUGCGUCCUCAGGAGAUUCUGAUGUGACUCUAAAUUUGAGAACCUAGGUGUUAAUUUAGGUAGUCUUCACACCAGCUCUGCAAGCUGAGUAUUGUUUAGAGUGUCUUUUAAGGUAAUGAGGCAAACCCCAUGAGAUUAGGGAACAUGUGACAUGUAAGCAUUAGGGCUGAUAUCCACACCCAGAUGUGUCUAACUUCAGAACCUGUUUCUUGUCUGAGCUUUUCAGCACUGUUUGCCAAUAGGCACUAUAGACAUCUGGUAUGACUAUAAGGAGAAGACAGGUAUUGCAUACAUAAUCAGGGAAGGUGUGUAUGCUCUGUGAAUACGUAACAGAGGUUAGGCAAGAAGUUAAAAAAGACAAGGCUGCAAGGGUUUUAGAUUCUGACAAUAGGUUCAAUUAGAAUUGCUUAUCUAAUAGCAAAUAGCUAGAUACUGAGCCAAAAUAUUAGAAUAGUUUACCCACAGCAAACAGCUAGAUACUGAGCCAAAAGCCCUUCUGAGCCAUGAUCUCUAUGGCUGGAGAAGUGAUUUUCAAAGUGUGCCCUGGACCAGCAGCAUCACUUAAAAACUUGUUACGAAUGCAAAUUCUGAUUCUAAGAAUCAGGAACUCUAGUGGGGCCAACCAAUCUUUACUUUAGCAAACUCUCCAGGUGAUUGAGAUGCACACUAAAUUUAAACCACAGGACUGGAGACAAAAUUGGCCUCAGAGGAAGUACAGGAGUGAGGUUGUAAAUGGAGUAAUUAGUGAUUAACUGGCUUGAAUAAGCGGGGAAGGUGCAGAAAACAAGGCAGUCUAAAACUCAGAGCUGCAGGAAAGA
ensembl:lncRNA